rnacentral:lncRNA from 1 species
UUUAAAUACAUAAAGGGAAUCAACACAGUAAGGGAGGAGACUAUUUUUAAAAGAAGAAAACCUACCACAACAAGAGGACAUAGUCUUAAAUUAGAGGGGCAAAGGUUUAAAAAUAAUAUAAGGAAGUAUUACAUUACUGAGAGGGUAGUGGAUGCAUGUAAUAGCCUUCCAGCUGAAGUGAUAGAGGUUAACACAGUGAAGGAGUUUAAGCAUGCUCGGGAUAGGCAU